GGGCGAUUGGCGCAGGGGGAGCGCGCUUCCCUGACACGGAAGAGGCCACAAGUUCAAAUCUUGUAUCGCCCACCA
rnacentral:tRNA from 1 species